ACCUGCUGCCCUUGGGGUGGUGCCGUGGAUCACUGGGAAUGGGGAAUGGGAUUGGGAACGGGAUCAUGGAUCCCUGGAGAGCUGGGAAUGGGGCACGGGAUUGGGAAUGGGAUUUGGAGUGGGAUCAUGGAUCCCUGGGAAUAGAGAAUGGGAUCAGGAAUGAGAGCAGGAAUGGGAUUGGGAAUGGGGUCAUGGAUUCCGGGGAAUAGGGAAUGGGGCCAUGGAUUCCUGGGAAUAGGGAAUGGGAUCGAAAAUGGGAAUGGAAUCAGAAACAGGAUCAGGAAUGGGGAAUGGGGAAUGGGGAAUGGGGAAUGGGAUCCCCCAGGGAAUAGGAAAUGGGAUCAGGAAUGGGAUUGGGAAUGAGGCCAUGGAUCCCUGGGAAAGGGGAAUGGGAUAGGGAAUGGGAUCAAGAAUGGGAGCAGGAAUGGGAUCAUGGAUCCCUGGGAACAGGGAAUGGGAUCAGGAACCAGACUGGGAAUGGGGUCAAUAAUGGGAUCAGGAACGGCAUUGGGAAUGGGGUCAAUAAUGGGAUCGGAAACGGGAUCAGGAAUGGGAUUGGGAACGGGAUCAGGAAUGGAAUGAGGAAUGGGAUGAGGAAUGGGAUCAGGAACAGGAUGAAGAACGGGAUUGGGAACAGGAUCGGGAAUGGGAUCAGGAAUGGGAUGAAGAAGGGGAUCAGGAAUGGGAUCAGGAACGGGAUCAGGAAUGGGAUCAGGAAUGGGAUGAAGAACAGGAUUAGGAAUGGGAUCAGGAACAGGAUCAGGAAGGAGCGAGAAGCAGACAGGAAAAACCUGAAGCAGACCCCAUCCCCCACCACCAUCCCCCAUUGGAGCAGAUCCCCAAACCCCAAACCCGCACUCCGGAGCUCCCUCCGCCUUCCCAAACCCCCGGCAUGGCGGCUGAGCGCGGCCGUUGCUCCGGCAGGUCCCGGACGCGGCGCUGAGGCCUCCAGGGCUCUACUGCAACCAGCUGGGCUCCGGGGAGCUGCUCAAGGCCGAGCCGGACGGCGCCCAGGACGCGAAGACCGAAGAGUUCUUCUCUGGGGUGGCUCCAGACUAGAGGAGAAGUUCUCUAGUGCAGCAGGUCCAGGUGUUCGCCGACGUCCAGUGCACGGUGAAUUUGGUGGGAGAUCCUUACCUCAACCCGCCGCCGGCUCCGUUGGCCAAUCCCAAAAAUCCCGGCCCCCCCCCCCCCCCCCCCCCCCCCCCCCCCCCCCCCCCCCCCCCCCCCCCCCCCCCCCCCCCCCCCCCCCCCCCCCCCCCCCCCCCCCCCCCCCCCCCCCCCCCCCCCCCCCCCCCCCCCCCCCCCCCCCCCCCCCCCCCCCCCCCCCCCCC
rnacentral:lncRNA from 12 species